rnacentral:rRNA from 1 species
CCUUGCCAGCCCGCUCAGAACUCAAGGAAUUGACGGGGCCCGCACAAGCGGUGGAGUAUGUGGUUUAAUUCGAUGCAACGCGAAGAACCUUACCUGGUCUUGACAUCCCGGAGACCCUUAGGAAACUAGGGGGUGCUUCCAUCUGGAAGAAUCUGGAGACAGGUGCUGCAUGGCUGUCGUCAGCUCGUGUCGUGAGAUGUUGGGUUAAGUCCCGCAACGAGCGCAACCCUUGCCUUUAGUUGCCAGCAGUUCGGCUGGGCACUCUAAAGGGACUGCCGGUGUUAAACCGGAGGAAGGUGGGGAUGACGUCAAGUCCUCAUGGCCUUUAUGACCAGGGCUACACACGUACUACAAUGGCCGAUACAAAGGGCAGCGACACUGCGAGGUGAAGCCAAUCCCGUAAAAUCGGUCUCAGUCCGGAUUGGAGUCUGCAACUCGACUCCAUGAAGUUGGAAUCGCUAGUAAUCGUGGAUCAGCAUGCCACGGUGAAUACGUUCCCGGGCCUU